rnacentral:rRNA from 1 species
CAGUCGCCGCGGUAAAACGUAGGUGGCAAGCGUUGUCCGGAAUUAUUGGGCGUAAAGCGCGCGCAGGCGGAUAGGUCAGUCUGUCUUAAAAGUUCGGGGCUUAACCCCGUGAUGGGAUGGAAACUGCCAAUCUAGAGUAUCGGAGAGGAAAGUGGAAUUCCUAGUGUAGCGGUGAAAUGCGUAGAUAUUAGGAAGAACACCAGUGGCGAAGGCGACUUUCUGGACGAAAACUGACGCUGAGGCGCGAAAGCCAGGGGAGCGAACGGGAUUAGAUACCCCUGUAGUCCCUGUCUCUUAUACA